rnacentral:tmRNA from 1 species
GGGCUUUCGCCGGGCCGCCUUGCCCCCUAUAUUGAUCGGGCCGGUUCGCCGGCUAUGGAAAUAAAUGGCCGUCGCAAUAAACCAUUCGGACCCGGGGGCAGCACCCGGCGCCUCCACCAAAGCUCCUUCGGGAUCGGACCGGAGCUUUGGCGGGGGCGAAACAGGAUCGACGAGGGCGUAAAGGGCGUGUUUUUUCUCGGUAUGGUUCCGCCGUUAUCGGGCUAUGCAAUAGUUGCAAACGACAACUUUGCUCCGGUUGCUCAGGCUGCGUAACGCAGUUUGAAAGACCAAAUCUAAAGUCCUAGUGGGUUAAGCUCCGCUAGGCGGGGUUCGGAGGCACCUGGCAACAGAAGCCUCCACU